UACGUAGGGUGCGAGCGUUGUCCGGAAUUAUUGGGCGUAAAGGGCGCGUAGGCGGCCAUCUAAGUCAGACGUGAAAUCCCCCGGCUUAACCUGGGAACUGCGUCUGAUACUGGACGGCUUGAGUAUGGGAGAGGGAUGUAGAAUUCCAGGUGUAGCGGUGAAAUGCGUAGAUAUCAGGAGGAACACCGGUGGCGAAGGCGGGUCUCUGGGCCGAUACUGACGCUGAGGAGCGAAAGCGUGGGGAGCGAACAGG
rnacentral:rRNA from 1 species